rnacentral:rRNA from 1 species
UACAUCGGAACGUGUCCUGUAGUGGGGGAUAGCCCGGCGAAAGCCGGAUUAAUACCGCAUACGCUCUACGGAGGAAAGGGGGGGAUCUUAGGACCUCUCGCUGUAGGGGCGGCCGAUGGCAGAUUAGCUAGUUGGUGGGGUAAAGGCCUACCAAGGCGACGAUCUGUAGCUGGUCUGAGAGGACGACCAGCCACACUGGGACUGAGACACGGCCCAGACUCCUACGGGAGGCAGCAGUGGGGAAUUUUGGACAAUGGGCGCAAGCCUGAUCCAGCAAUGCCGCGUGUGUGAAGAAGGCCUUCGGGUUGUAAAGCACUUUUGUCCGGAAAGAAAACCGCCUGGCUAAUAUCCGGGCGGGAUGACGGUACCGGAAGAAUAAGCACCGACUAACUACGUGCCAGCAGCCGCGGUAAUACGUAGGGUGCAAGCGUUAAUCGGAAUUACUGGGCGUAAAGCGUGCGCAGGCGGUCCGCUAAGACAGAUGUGAAAUCCCCGGGCUUAACCUGGGAACUGCAUUUGUGACUGGCGGGCUAGAGUAUGGCAGAGGGGGGUAGAAUUCCACGUGUAGCAGUGAAAUGCGUAGAGAUGUGGAGGAAUACCGAUGGCGAAGGCAGCCCCCUGGGCCAAUACUGACGCUCAUGCACGAAAGCGUG